CUCCGCCCCACGGGGCCGGCGGUGGCGGGGCCUCCUCUGGAGGGAGGAGGCUACCGCCUUUGCGGGGGGAUCGGUCAGGUCCGGAAGGGAGCAGCCUAACCCCCGACGCCGGCGUUCGUGGGUCUACGGGG
rnacentral:SRP_RNA from 1 species